CCGCUGCUGCUGGCUAGGCGGAUGAAGUUAGUGUUGGGCCUGGGAGCCUGCGCUGCCGUACGUCCUACGGGCCGUGGCCUGCAGGGGAAGAAAGAUCGGGGAGAUACCGUACAUCUUCGGAAGAAGGUAGGAAAAUCAUUGAAGUUUGAGAUUCGUGCAUGUACCGUGGGUCAUCGGAUUCGCUUCUUCCUUCCCCUCCUCAGUGCAAAUCUCUCCGAUCGCGACCGCGUCGUGCGGGAAGAUAACCGGAUGGAUGUGACCGGUGUGGUGUCUCGAGGAUGAAAUCGAUGCACGGUGGCGGGCGUAGGGGCUGCGUGGCGCGGCUGUGAGGAUGUCGCUAGCUGUGGGCGGUGGAGGAUGAUAGCGGGGCCAGCGAAGGUGGAUCCGGCGACGGUAGCCGCCGGAGAUAGAGCGAUAGGCUGGCAGGGCGGGGCAGCAACGUCGGAGAGAAAGAAGAAGAAGCUGGCGACGAGCAGCGGGCGGCGAGCAGCGCGUCAGGAAAGGAAGACGAGUACGGGGCCGUAUUGAACUGGCGAUGUACAAGGGUUCAUCUUCUGCGCGAUGAAUAGGAGCUCCAAAGGAAGACCGCGAGUGUGGGAUGUGUGCUCCGCUUUC
rnacentral:lncRNA from 1 species